GAUGAAGAACGCAGCGAAAUGCGAUACGUAAUGUGAAUUGCAGAAUUCAGUGAAUCAUCGAAUCUUUGAACGCAUAUUGCGCUCUCUGGUAUUCCGGAGAGCAUGCUUGUUUGAGUAUCAGUAAACACCUCAACUCCCCUUUCUUUUUUUGAAAUGGGAGCUGGACUUGAGUGAUCCCAACGCUUUUCUCACCGAAAAGUGGCGGGUUACUUGAAAUGCAGGUGCAGCUGGACUUUUCUCUGAGCUAAAAGCAUAUCUAUUUAGUCUGCCUAAAAAACAGAUUAUUACCUUUGCUGCAGCUAACAUAAAGGAGAUUAGUUCUUGUGCUGACUGAUGCAGGAUUCACAGAGACAGCUUCGGCUGGCCUUUGUAAACUCGAUCUCAAAUCAAGUAAGACUACCCGCUGAACUUAAGCAUAUCAAUAAGAGGAGGA
rnacentral:misc_RNA from 1 species